GGAAGGUCCUUUCCCAAGUCAUCGCUAGUCUCACAGAGAAACAAAUUCUCCCUCAGCACAGCACUAGCAUGACUUCAGAGGUUGGCAGGUAAUGACUGAUGCCAUUACCGAUGUGGACAAGAAAAACUUUCUUAAGCAGAAACUGAAAACAGUUGGAGGAAUUCACAUUGAAGAGGAGAUUAAUAAGACUGGACAUGGGAAAUGCAAUCUCACCUCUGUCCUGCAGCAUCACAGUGAAGUUAGAGUAACUCACUGA
rnacentral:lncRNA from 1 species